rnacentral:rRNA from 1 species
GAUCCUGGCUCAGAUUGAACGCUGGCGGAAUGCUUUACACAUGCAAGUCGAACGGUAGAGGGGCAACCCUCGAGAGUGGCGAACGGGUGAGUAAUAUAUCGGAACGUGCCCAGUCGUGGGGGAUAACGUAGCGAAAGUUACGCUAAUACCGCAUACGAUCUACGGAUGAAAGCGGGGAUCGCAAGACCUCGCGCGAUUGGAGCGGCCGAUAUCAGAUUAGGUAGUUGGUGGGGUAAAGGCUCACCAAGCCAACGAUCUGUAGCUGGUCUGAGAGGACGACCAGCCACACUGGAACUGAGACACGGUCCAGACUCCUACGGGAGGCAGCAGUGGGGAAUUUUGGACAAUGGACGCAAGUCUGAUCCAGCCAUUCCGCGUGCAGGAUGAAGGCCCUCGGGUUGUAAACUGCUUUUGUACGGAACGAAAAGGUUUCUAUUAAUACUAGGAGCUCAUGACGGUACCGUAAGAAUAAGCACCGGCCAACUAUGUG